rnacentral:lncRNA from 1 species
AGUCCACACCCAGAGCUGACACCCCAAAGAUACUCCAGACGAUCGCUCUCUGUCCAACCAUGAGCAUGAGGGGCUUCUUGGUGUCAUUUCCACUCCCCUUGCCAAUAUUUAUUUGGAAACAUUUCAAACUACAGAAAAGUUAUGCAAAUUACAUCAGGAACACACACAUCCCCUGUGCGGAGAUCUGUGCUUUAUGUCUUUGAAAGUAAGUUGUCGAGAUCACAGCACUCCACCCCUCCACACCGAAGCCCGCAGCUUCUCAGGAAAGGGCAGUCUUGUGUGAUCAGUGCAUAUCAUCACACACAGGAUGUCUGACACUGGCACCACGCUGCCAUCUCAGAGUCCAUUUCAAUGCUGGGGGUCAUCGGUUUUCAGCAGGUUCUUCCCUGGGUUCAACGCGUCUUCCCGCCAGAGGGAUGGAAUCUUGGGUGAGUGUUGAAAUGCGUCAGAAACAAAAACGCAAAGUGGAACUGGAGCACGUCACAGACCUUGGACCAGAAGUGGC